rnacentral:rRNA from 1 species
GACGAACGCUGGCGGCGUGCUUAACACAUGCAAGUCGAACGGAAAGGCCCUGCUUUUGUGGGUUCCUGAGUGGCGAACGGGUGAGUAACACCUUAAUAACCUGCCCUUGACUUUUGGAUAACUUCAAGAAACUGGGGCCAAAUCCCGUUCGGAACUCCUGCCUCAUGGUGGGGGUUGGAAAAUUUCGGCUGUUGGGGAUGGACUCGCGGCUUAUCCGCUUGUUGGGGGGGUAGUGGCUUACCCAGGCUUUGACGGGUAGCCGGCCUGAGAGGGUGACCGGCCACAUUGGGACUGAGAUACGGCCCAGACUCCUACGGGAGGCAGCAGUGGGGAAUAUUGCACAAUGGGCGGAAGCCUGAUGCAGCAACGCCGCGUGCGGGAUGACGGCCUUCGGGUUGUAAACCGCUUUCGCCUGUGACGAAGCGUGAGUGACGGUAAUGGGUAAAGAAGCACCGGCUAACUACGUG